UGGGGGAUAUUGCACAAUGGGGGGAAACCCUGAUGCAGCGACGCCGCGUGGAGGAAGAAGGUUUUCGGAUUGUAAACUCCUGUCGUUAGGGACGAUAAUGACGGUACCUAACAAGAAAGCACCGGCUAACUACGUGCCAGCAGCCGCGGUAAAACGUAGGGUGCAAGCGUUGUCCGGAAUUACUGGGUGUAAAGGGAGCGCAGGCGGACCGGCAAGUUGGAAGUGAAAACCAUGGGCUCAACCCAUGAAUUGCUUUCAAAACUGCUGGCCUUGAGUAGUGCAGAGGUAGGCGGAAUUCCCGGUGUAGCGGUGGAAUGCGUAGAUAUCGGGAGGAACACCAGUGGCGAAGGCGGCUUACUGGACGAUAACUGACGCUGAGG
rnacentral:rRNA from 1 species